rnacentral:rRNA from 1 species
CCUACGGGAGGCAGCAGUGAGGAAUAUUGGUCAAUGGACGAGAGUCUGAACCAGCCAAGUAGCGUGAAGGAUGACUGCCCUAUGGGUUGUAAACUUCUUUUAUAUGGGAAUAAAAUGUUCCACGUGUGGGAUUUUGUAUGUACCAUAUGAAUAAGGAUAGGCUAACUCCGUGCCAGCAGCUGCGGUAAUACGGAGGAUCCGAGCGUUAUCCGGAUUUAUUGGGUUUAAAGGGAGCGUAGGUGGAUUGUUAAGUCAGUUGUGAAAGUUUGCGGCUCAACCGUAAAAUUGCAGUUGAAACUGGCAGUCUUGAGUACAGUAGAGGUGGGCGGAAUUCGUGGUGUAGCGGUGAAAUGCUUAGAUAUCACGAAGAACUCCGAUUGCGAAGGCAGUUCACUGGACUGCAACUGACACUGAGGCUCGAAAGUGUGGGUAUCAAACAGGAUUAGAUACCCGGGUAGUC